rnacentral:rRNA from 1 species
GGUUAAGCGACUAAGCGUACACGGUGGAUGCCCUGGCAGUCAGAGGCGAUGAAGGACGUGCUAAUCUGCGAUAAGCGUCGGUAAGGUGAUAUGAACCGUUAUAACCGGCGAUUUCCGAAUGGGGAAACCCAGUGUGAUUCGUCACACUAUCAUUAACUGAAUCCAUAGGUUAAUGAGGCGAACCGGGGGAACUGAAACAUCUAAGUACCCCGAGGAAAAGAAAUCAACCGAGAUUCCCCCAGUAGCGGCGAGCGAACGGGGAGCAGCCCAGAGCCUGAAUCAGUGUGUGUGUUAGUGGAAGCGUCUGGAAAGGCGCGCGAUACAGGGUGACAGCCCCGUACACAAAAAUGCACAUGCUGUGAGCUCGAUGAGUAGGGCGGGACACGUGGUAUCCUGUCUGAAUAUGGGGGGACCAUCCUCCAAGGCUAAAUACUCCUGACUGACCGAUAGUGAACCAGUACCGUGAGGGAAAGGCGAAAAGAACCCCGGCGAGGGGAGUGAAAAAGAACCUGAAACCGUGUACGUACAAGCAGUGGGAGCACGCUUCGGCGUGUGACUGCGUACCUUUUGUAUAAUGGGUCAGCGACUUAUAUUCUGUAGCAAGGUUAACCGAAUAGGGGAGCCGAAGGGAAACCGAGUCUUAACUGGGCGUUAAGUUGCAGGGUAUAGACCCGAAACCCGGUGAUCUAGCCAUGGGCAGGUUGAAGGUUGGGUAACACUAACUGGAGGACCGAACCGACUAAUGUUGAAAAAUUAGCGGAUGACUUGUGGCUGGGGGUGAAAGGCCAAUCAAACCGGGAGAUAGCUGGUUCUCCCCGAAAGCUAUUUAGGUAGCGCCUCGUGAAUUCAUCUCCGGGGGUAGAGCACUGUUUCGGCAAGGGGGUCAUCCCGACUUACCAACCCGAUGCAAACUGCGAAUACCGGAGAAUGUUAUCACGGGAGACACACGGCGGGUGCUAACGUCCGUCGUGAAGAGGGAAACAACCCAGACCGCCAGCUAAGGUCCCAAAGUCAUGGUUAAGUGGGAAACGAUGUGGGAAGGCCCAGACAGCCAGGAUGUUGGCUUAGAAGCAGCCAUCAUUUAAAGAAAGCGUAAUAGCUCACUGGUCGAGUCGGCCUGCGCGGAAGAUGUAACGGGGCUAAACCAUGCACCGAAGCUGCGGCAGCGACGCUGAUGCGUUGUUGGGUAGGGGAGCGUUCUGUAAGCCUGUGAAGGUGUGCUGUGAGGCAUGCUGGAGGUAUCAGAAGUGCGAAUGCUGACAUAAGUAACGAUAAAGCGGGUGAAAAGCCCGCUCGCCGGAAGACCAAGGGUUCCUGUCCAACGUUAAUCGGGGCAGGGUGAGUCGACCCCUAAGGCGAGGCCGAAAGGCGUAGUCGAUGGGAAACAGGUUAAUAUUCCUGUACUUGGUGUUACUGCGAAGGGGGGACGGAGAAGGCUAUGUUGGCCGGGCGACGGUUGUCCCGGUUUAAGCGUGUAGGCUGGUUUUCCAGGCAAAUCCGGAAAAUCAAGGCUGAGGCGUGAUGACGAGGCACUACGGUGCUGAAGCAACAAAUGCCCUGCUUCCAGGAAAAGCCUCUAAGCAUCAGGUAACAUCAAAUCGUACCCCAAACCGACACAGGUGGUCAGGUAGAGAAUACCAAGGCGCUUGAGAGAACUCGGGUGAAGGAACUAGGCAAAAUGGUGCCGUAACUUCGGGAGAAGGCACGCUGAUAUGUAGGUGAAGUCCCUCGCGGAUGGAGCUGAAAUCAGUCGAAGAUACCAGCUGGCUGCAACUGUUUAUUAAAAACACAGCACUGUGCAAACACGAAAGUGGACGUAUACGGUGUGACGCCUGCCCGGUGCCGGAAGGUUAAUUGAUGGGGU